rnacentral:rRNA from 1 species
UCUAAGUAUAAACGAUUUAAUCGUGAAACCGCGAAUGGCUCAUUAUAACAGCUAUAAUUUACUUGAUCUUGACACAAUCCUACUUGGAUAACUGUGGUAAUUCUAGAGCUAAUACAUGCAUUAAAGCUCUGACCUCACGGGAAGAGUGCAUUUAUUAGAACAAAACCAAGCGGCUUCGGCUGUUUUCGGUUGACUCAUAGUAACUGAGCUGAUCGCAUGGUCUUGCACCGGCGACGUGUCUUUCAAGUAUCUGCCGUAUCAACUUUCGAUGGUAGUGUAUCUGACUACCAUGGUGAUCACGCGUAACGGAGAAUAAGGGUUCGGCUCCGGAGAGUUCGCCUGAGAAAUCGCGAACACAUCUAAGGAAGGCAGCAGGCGCGAAAAUUACCCACUCUCAGCACGAGGAGGUAGUGACGAAAAAUAACGAGACCGUUCUCUUUCGAGGCCGGUCAUCGGAAUGGGUACAAUUUAAACCCUUUAACGAGUAUCUAUGAGAGGGCAAGUCUGGUGC